ensembl:lncRNA
CCUGCGGUGAAGGUCUCCCUUGGAGGCCUGUUUGCAGAAUCCCUGGACCUCAUUGAUUUGGAGAAUCCUGAAGGGCAAACAAGUCUGGCCUGUGGCUUGUGGGUCUGCGAGCAGUCUUAUUUUAAGAAAUCCCUUGAGACAGCUUUUCACUCUUAGGCAGAAGCCAAGAAACUUGUGUCUCGGGAGAUUUUUCUUUGACUGUUGAUUUUUAUUGGCAGUACUUCGGGAAUGUGAAAAUACUCCAUUAUGGAAACAUCCCUUGAAAUGCAGCACACGGCUGUGGUCUCCAGUAUGUGGUCCUGGCCCUGUUUGAUUUAGUUGUGGAGUUAACCUAGGAGAGAAUGACCUCCUGCCCUGUGGCACGUACUGGUGCUCUGCUGCAGACAUCAGGAGAUCUCUGCAUCUACCGGCUGAGUGGCCUUGGGCCACUUGGAGCUGUUUCUCUGUGUAGAGCCCGCCUCCCAGGUGGUGGUGAGGCUCAACACGACUGCCAGUGUGCAGGCUCCCCUGGAGGCCAUAGAGCAUUGUACAAGGCGUUAAACUCAAUUUCUAGAAGAGAAAGAAAAAUCCAGAUUUUGUUCCGCCUCAUUGUUCAAGUGCUUCGUUGUCACCAUCAAGCCAUUUGAACUAUGUUCGCUCCAGUAAGCUAUGGACACACGAGAGAACCGCAACUGUGCGUGAAGAACUUGCCUCAAAUCAUUGGGUUUGGCUUCUCCUAUCAAACUUUCCCCAAGGUUUUCCAAAGCUGGAGCAGACUUCCAUUCUUCCUGAACCACACCUUGUCUAGGAGAAUGUAUAGAAGAGGAAAAGGCGACAACGGGACUUCAAUCCUAGAGAAGCCAACAUUGAAAGUGUGCGAGAAGAGAAUCCUCUAAAAGUGACUGAGGAAACCUGGGCAGGAGGCAGAGACAAAGGAGAGUGGAGGAGGCCAAGGGAAGGAAGGAGAGACCCACUUUUGGGUAAUGCUACAGACGUGGUAAGUGAGGGAAAGGAGAAGAUUCUGCAGACCAGUUGGGCUUACCACGUGUCUCAGUUUCUUUGGGACCCACGACUUGCCCAGGACGGACUUGAUUGAGAAAUGCUGUGUUGGUUUCAAAGGACAGCAAAGGCAGGAAGGGCCGUCUUUGAAGUGAUUGUGAACUCAUCUUCUCUAUGAACAGUUUCUCCAAACGAGAUGUGACAAGGGUGCUAUGACUGUAGCGUGAGGGAGGGGUUGGGAGAAGAAAAUCUUCUGAAGAAGCUUCGUCACCCUCUCUCAGCUCCCUGAUUUGUAGCCAACACUGAAUGAGGAGAAGUGAACUGUCCUGUGGUGGGACUUCUGGCAGCCUUUCUCACUUGGUCAGAAAGAGGCAUUGCUAAUAUCUGCAUUAAAAACUCACCCUGGAGCACCUGGAAACUAUUCUUCAAGCAUUGAAGGCGGGCUCUGCUGACCUGCUGUCUGGAAUUGUGGUUCUGUGGUGAACUGGGUGGCGAGGCCGAUAAUCCACCCGUCAAGAUGAGCUGGACUGCAGCCUUCCCUCCCCCACACAGAUCCCCAUUCCCUUAGUUAUUUGGAGUCUUCAUGGCUUCCCCUCACUGUUUCCUGAGCCCUGAGGAGCAGUGUUAAAUAGUGGUUAAAUAUAUGGCCUCUGGUUUCAGACAGGCCUCAGUUUAAAUCUUGGUUCUGCUAUUUAAACAUUAUAUGGCAUUGGGAAUGACUAUCUCUUCAUCUCUAGAAUGGGCAUCCUAAUGGCAUGCCGUCUUAUGAAAUGGUUGUGGGGGUUAAAAUGAGACCAUGUGUGUGAAGUACCUGGGAGUACCUGCACACAGUAGGGACUCAGUUAAUUCAGUUCUCUUCUGUUCUCCACACCUGGACCCAUUUCUUCUGUUUGCUUUUCCCCAGCUUCGACUGGAAGCUGACCUAAGGUGGCUGUCCCAUUGGAACAAAUGUAACAAAGAUUCACAUAUAGACAUCAAUAACUGAUAAAGAAUUAGCCAUAAGUAUGCACUCCAAGACAUGGAAAUACGUCUCAAACUACCAUGACCGUCCUGUCACGAAGGGACACCGAAGCUUAUUGCUGGAGGCUCAUCAGUGUGGCUGAGAAGGAAUCUGAAGCAGAUGCUGUCAGACGGUAACGCUGAACUUACACCAGACGAUAACGCACGUUUUCUAAUAUUCCAAAAUUUAAUCUUAAACCGUUAGUCAAAUCUGCCUAAAAUCUUGGGACACAAAGUCAGUUAUUGGGUCCUGUGCAAAGUUUAUUGUAGGUAUUAACACUUAAUUUCCCCCAAACCUCUCUGAGUGAAAUAUUAUUAAGGUCCCCUGUGAUGGUUAAUUUUAUGUGUGAACUUGGCUAGGCUGUGGUACUCAGUUUUUGGCCCAACACCAGUGUAGAUGUCGUGGUGAAGGUAUGUUUUAGAUGAAAUUAACAUUCAAAUCAGUAGACUUGGAGUAAAACAAAAUACCUUCUAUAAGGUGAAAGAGCUCAUCCAACCAGUUGAAGGACUUAAGAAAAUAAGACUGAAUCCCCUGGAGGAAUAGAGAAUUCUGCUUCCAGACUGCUCUUGGACUCGAGUCGCAACAUCAGCUCUUUGCAGGUCUGCCCUACAGAUUUCCAGUUUGCCAGCCCCGACGAUCACAUGCACCAAUUGCUUAAAAUAAAUCUCUCUCUCUCUAGUUAUAUAUUUAUAUAUAUAUACAUAUGCUUUUGUGUGUGUGUGUGUGUGGAAGAUUAGCCCUGAGCUAACAUCUGCUGCCAAUCCUCCUCUUUUUGCUGAGGAAGACUGGCCCUGAGCUAACAUCUGUGCUCAUCUUCCUCUACUUUAUAUGUGGGACGUCUACCACAGCAUGGCUUGCCAAGCGGUGCCAUCUCUGCAACCGGGAUCCAAACAGGCGAACCCUGGGCCGCCGAAGGAGAACGUGCGAACUCAACUGCUGCGCCACCGGGCCGGCCCUCUCUCUAGUUAUAUAGAUACAUGCAUAGAUAUUUCUCUGGAAAAUUCUGACUAAUCAAUCUCCAUUUUACAAAUGGUAAAACAAAGUCUCAGAGAGAUAAAAUAAUUUGUCAUAGGCCACACAGCUAGUUAGCAGCCGGGUGGAAUGCAGGCUGCUCUUUCUUGCAGGGCCGAGCUAGAACCCAGGUUCCUCCCAGCCUGUGGCCAAGAACCAUAUGAGGGGCAUGUGAAGAGUUGGUUGUGUUUAAUCCUGUCAUCGGUUUAUUGGAAAGCUUUUCACUGCAGCCUGCAAGAGGGAAAACGACUUGCUUGGGGUGAAUGUGGCCACCAAUGCGCUCUUUCCCUUCAUCUAAACAGAGACUCGGUCACACUUCAUUGAUCAUGCCUCUCGCUGAAAGGUCGCCUUAAUGCUGGCCAGCAAAUAUUAUGUUUCUCAGGCAGCCCUAUGCUGUCAACCACGUUUCCUGAUCUACUCUGAUUAGAUAUAUAAACAGCUUCGGUAAAACAGAGCCCGAGCUUUGCUGUUAAAAAUAUAAGAUAAGGCUUCCAUAAAUAUUCAUCAACAGCAGAGACACUGUGUCAGUUAGGCCUGAACCCUCAGAGCACACAGCUUCUUUUUACGGUGUUGUAAGAAGGUCAGUGGGCAAAUAACCAUGAUUUAUAAUCAUGUUUUAAUAGUGACUGGUGUUCCGGCUGAGGGACACACUGGGGAGAAGAAAGGGUUAAAAUAGUCGCGAGGGGUCACGAAGUGGUCUUGCAUUAAUGACCUAGCACAUGAGCAACAUUACUAAAAGUUCCUUAGUUAUUUUGUAUCUGCUAAGUGUGACCCCAUCCCAGCUAAGAAUAGGGAUGAAAUGGUCUGACGCCUGCAAGGUGCAGAAACGUGAACGAAGAACAAGGACUUCCCUGAAAUUCGAAUGUGCUGCCCAAUUGGGGAAAUGAAGUAAUCAAAACCACGCGUUUUAUACCUUCAGAUGCAUCUCGUCCCACAAACACGUGCAAGGCAGGACCAGUUUAUGGCGUUUUAUUACAGAUUCAUGUGUGUUUAAUUGGUAUGCAUUUCAAAAUACUCUUCUAACAUUUGUGCCAACGUUGGGCUCGAUGAUCUAAAGGAUUUUUCCAGCUCUAAUUCCUUUGCAUGAGAACAUGUGCCCUUUCCAUAUAAUUUUUGGUAUUUGUUUUCCAAAAAGCUACAAAGGGUUGUCAAUAUUGGUUUUAAAGAGGAAAAAAUAGGAUGAGAGUAAGAAGAGACUAUCAAAAGUUGCUUGGUGGGAAAAUAUCAGAAGUUAACAUACUGGAUGAAGUUUUAAUGUGCUUGGAUAUUUAUAGAUAGCUUCCGAAAGACAUUUUGCUCACAUAAAGAGCUCACUACUCCCCACUUCAAUGAUCACUUGAAAUUUUCCUAAACUAAUCAAUGCAAUUUCUACUCAACACUAAAUAGACCUGCUCACAUUUGUUGAGCAGUUACUAUGUACCCAGCACUGUUCUAAACACUUUACACAAAUCAGCUGAGAAAAAUCCUGUCGUCAACCCAAGAGCCUGCUGCUUUUUUCCCUCUUUAUCGCAGCCUAUGAAAUUAUGCAUACUCAAUUUAAACCUUUCUUGAAUUAAAGUAAUAUUCUCCCAGGUUGAUGCCUGGUUUGGGUUAACAUCAAAUAUAAAAGCCUUUUAUUUUCCCGAGAUAAUCGUUUUAUUUUCUUGGAAUUGUUGUGACCCAUAGUUCCCAUGCUUGGCUGUGCAUCAGGAUCGCAUGAGGAACUUUCCAAAAAUGCGAGUUCCUAGGCCAGAACUCCCAACCACCGAAUCUCUACAGGCGGGACUCAGGAAUCUGCAUUCUAACAAGGAAGUGGUAUUUUUAUUCCUUUCUCAGAAGAAGAAACCAAGUCACAUAAGGUUGAAUAACAGCCUGAAGUCACACUGAGAGUAAGGAAGAACUAAAUGCAAACAGAGGAAGGUCGUAGGUUUUUUUUAAAUUGUACUUGAGUUGGUCUUAAUGUUGUUUGUGCUUCUAUAAGAAGCAACACGUUUUCUUUGUACAAGGUACUCAAAUACUAAAAGCCAAAGUGAUAUUAGGCUGCGCUGAGGGCACAUUUGGGGAACUUAGGCCACCUCUCCGAGUUUUCCAGAAAAAUGAGUACAUGUGGACUGUCUUUCAUUCUUUCCUUUAGUUAGGAUAUCUUUAGUCUUGGUUUACACAUGCAAAUGGGUUUCCAUUAUUAGAUUGACCGAGAGAAC